AACCCAAAAUCUUAUUGUAGUUAAUAAUAAUUAUCAUUGGCCUAAAGUUAAAUUAAGUUACUAAUUUAAUUAAAACCCAGUUGUUGUAACAUUCUAGCUAAAUAGAUAUUAGUGGCAAGUGCUCUUUUUACUUUUUACUACCAAUUAAAAAAUUUAGUUACAAAUUAUUUAUACUAUAGUAAUUAUUUAACAAAAGAGAGGGUAAUUUAGGUAAUUGGGAUGAACAUGUUAUAAUGGAUAAACAUAACCCAAAUCAGGAUAUUAUUUUUUUUCAUUCAAUUUCUCUCUAUUUUCUCAGGAACUCUCCCGAACCCACACUCUCUCCAUAUCAUGAUUUCAAAAUCUUUCCAAUUCCUCUCUAACACUAAGUACAUGUAAUAUAUUCAUGGAGAAUAAGCUUCUUCCAAUGAGUUAGAGAGUCCAUUGAAAGGAAUUAAAGGCUAAAGCUUCAAGAUUUGGGUUAGUGAAAGGAAAGAGGGUUUGAAACCGACAAGAUUUAAAGAGGUCCAUCGCCAUCUUCAUCUUCAUCUUCAAAUAACUAAGGUACCGUUCGCCACCACGAAGAGAUAAGGUGGUAUAGCCGUUCGCCACAACGAAGAGAUAAUGUGGUAUAUCCGUUCGCCACCACGAAGAGAUAAGGUGGUAUAGCCGUUCGCCACAACGAAGAGAUAAUGUGGUAUAUCCGUUCGCCACCACGAAGAGAUAAGGUGGUAUAGCCGUUCGCCACAACGAAGAGAUAAUGUGGUAUAUUCGUUCACCACUACGAAGAGAUAAGGUGGUAUCCGUUCGCCACAACGAAGAGAUAAUGUGGUUAGUACCGUUCACCACAACGAAGAGACAAUGUGGUUUAUGUCAACAUAGUGGGAAAAGAUAAGUGAUAUUAGAUAUGACAAGCUUAUUAUUAGUUUUAAGUGUAGGUGUGCGUGUAGAACUUCGUAUAUGAUUAACAAGUGGUUCCUGUUAAAGAUUUUAUCAAAUAUUGUUUCCCUUGAUGUUGUAAAAUAGUAUUUUUGGUAUAAGUUUUCAAAGUACGACCGCUUUAGUGUGCAUAAUGAAAUGAAAUAGCUUUAUAUAUUUUGCUGAUAGUUAACCAACACUUAGAGAACUACGUGGCUCUGAUUCCCUAAUUGUUUAGGGAUACGUAGGACCAGGGACCCUCCCUGUCGAGCUAUAAUUUCAGUAACUGUAUAUUUUAAA